UACAGAGGGUGCAAGCGUUAAUCGGAGUUACUGGGCGUAAAGGGCGCGUAGGCGGUGUGUCAAGUCAGGCGUGAAAGCCCCGGGCUCAACCUGGGAACCGCGCUUGAGACUGGCACGCUCGAGUUCGGGAGAGGAUGGUGGAAUUCCCAGUGUAGAGGUGAAAUUCGUAGAUAUUGGGAAAAACACCGAUGGCGAAGGCAGCCAUCUGGACCGACACUGACGCUGAGGCGCGAAAGCGUGGGGAGCAAACAGG
rnacentral:rRNA from 1 species